rnacentral:rRNA from 1 species
GAUGAACGCUUGCGACAGGCUUAACACAUGCAAGUCGAGGGGUCUUGGGAUUGAAACUUGCUUCGAUUGCCGGCGACCGGCGGACGGGUGAGUAACAGCGUAUGCAACCUGCCCGCCACAGGGGAAUAACCGGAAGAAAUUCCUACUAAUUCCGCGUGACUCCUCUAGCAGGCAUCUCCCCGAGGUCGAAGGACCCAUCCGGGGGCGGAUGGGCAUGCAGCGCAUUACCUACUCGGCGGAGUAUCGGCCCACCAACGCGACGAUGCAUAGGGGUUCUGAGAGGAAAGUACCCCCACACUGGUACUGAGACACGGACCAGACUCCUACUGUUAGGCAGCAGUGAGGAAUAUUGAUCAAUGGGCGAGAGCCUGAACCAGACCGGCCUCGUGACGGAAGACUGUCCUACCGGUUGUAAACCUCUUUUGUCAUGAAGCAGAAACACGCACUCGUGCCUGACUGAGAGUACCUGAAGAAAAAGCAUCGGCUAACUCCGUGCCAUCAGCCGCGGUAAUACGGAGGAUGCGAGCGUUAUCCGGAUUUAUUGGGUUUAAUGGGUGCGUACGCGGACUGCCUCGUCAGCGUGAAAAAUGCGGGGCUCAGCCACGACAAGCCAAUGACACUGGUGGUCUUGAGUGGGCGAGAAGUACGCGGAAUGUGUGGUGUAGCGGUGAAAUGCAUAGAUAUCACGCAGAACUCCCGAUUGCGAAGGCAGCGUACCGGCGCCCUACUGACGGCUGAAGGCACGAAAGCGUGGGUAUCGAACAGGAUUAGAUACCCUGGUAGUCCACGCAGUAAACGAUGAAUUGCUAGCUGUCUGGGACGAAUGAGUCCUGGGUGGCACAGCGAAAGCGUUAAGCAUUCCACCUGGGGAGUACGCCGGCAACGGUGAAACUCAAAGGAAUUGACGGGGGCCCGCACAAGCGGAGGAACAUGUGGUUUAAUUCGAUGAUACGCGAGGAACCUUACCCGGGCUCAAACGCACUGCGAAUGAUGCUGAAAGGUGUCAGCCAGCAAUGGCGUGGUGCGAGGUGCUGCAUGGUUGUCGUCAGCUCGUGCCGUGAGGUGUCGGCUUAAGUGCCAUAACGAGCGCAACCCCUACCGACAGUUGCUAACUGGUGAAGCAGAGGACUCUGUCGGGACUGCCGGCGCAAGCUGUGAGGAAGGCGGGGAUGACGUCAAAUCAGCACGGCCCUUACGUCCGGGGCGACACACGUGUUACAAUGGCAGGUACAGCGGGAAGCCACCUGGCGACAGGGAGUGGAACCCGAAAACCUGCCUCAGUUCGGAUUGGAGUCUGCAACCCGACUCCAUGAAGCUGGAUUCGCUAGUAAUCGCGCAUCAGCCAUGGCGCGGUGAAUACGUUCCCGGGCCUUGUACACACCGCCCGUCAAGCCAUGGGAGCCGGGGGUACCUGAAGUGCGUUACCGCAAGGAGCGCCCUAAGGUAAAACUGGUGACUGGGGCUAAGU